UUAAGUUCACUUCAGCCUCACAUAUACUAAAAUUGUAGUGAUACAGAGAAGGUUGGCAUGACCCCUGCACAUGGAUGACAUGAAAAUUUGUGAAGUGUUUCAUAUAAAU
ensembl:snRNA U6 U6 spliceosomal RNA